rnacentral:rRNA from 1 species
CUAGCUGUAAACGAUGGAUACUAGGCGUUGAGAGUAUCGACCCUCUCAGUGUCGUAGCUAACGCGUUAAGUACCCCGCCUGGGGAGUACGCGCGCAGGCGUGAAACUCAAAGGAAUUGACGGGGGCCCGCACAAGCGGUGGAGUAUGUGGUUUAAUUCGAUGCAACGCGAAGAACCUUACCAGGGCUUGACAUGUCCGGAACCCUGCCCAAAGGCGGGGGUGCCUACGGGAACCGGAACACAGGUGGUGC